rnacentral:rRNA from 1 species
GACGAACGCUGGCGGCGUGCUUAACACAUGCAAGUCGAACGGAAAGGCCCUGCUUUUGUGGGGUGCUCGAGUGGCGAACGGGUGAGUAACACGUGAGUAACCUGCCCUUGACUUUGGGAUAACUUCAGGAAACUGGGGCUAAUACCGGAUAGGAGCUCCUGCUGCAUGGUGGGGGUUGGAAAGUUUCGGCGGUUGGGGAUGGACUAGCGGCUUAUCAGCUUGUUGGUGGGGUAGUGGCUUACCAAGGCUUUGACGGGUAGCCGGCCUGAUAGGGUGACCGGCCACAUUGGGCCUGGGAUACGGCCCAGACUCGUACGGGACGCAGCGGUGGGGAAUGUUGCACAAUGGGCGGAAGCCUGAUGCAGCAACGCCGCGUGCGGGAUGACGGCCUUCGGGUUGUAUACCGCUUUCGCCUGUGACGAAGCGUUAGUGACGGUAAUGGGUAAAGAAGCACCGGCUAACUACGUG